rnacentral:tRNA from 1 species
GGAGGAUUAGCUCAGUUGGGAGAGCGUCUGCCUUACAAGCAGAGGGUCACAGGUUCGAGCUCUGUAUCCUCCA